AACGAACGCUGGCGGCAUGCCUAACACAUGCAAGUCGAACGAGACCUUCGGGUCUAGUGGCGCACGGGUGCGUAACGCGUGGGAACCUGCCCUUAGGUUCGGAAUACCUCCCCGACAGGGGUGCUAAUACCGGAUAAUUUCUUCGGACCAAAGAUUUAUCGCCUUUGGAUGGGCCCGCGUUGGAUUAGCUAGUUGGUAGGGUAAAAGCCUACCAAGGCGACGAUCCAUAGCUGGUCUGAGAGGAUGAUCAGCCACACUGGGACUGAGACACGGCCCAGACUCCUACGGGAGGGAGCAGUGGGGAAUAUUGGACAAUGGGCGAAAGCCUGAUCCAGCAAUGCCGCGUGAGUGAUGAAGGCCUUAGGGUUGUAAAGCUCUUUUACCCGGGAUGAUAAUGACAGUACCGGGAGAAUAAGCUCCGGCUAACUCCGUG
rnacentral:rRNA from 1 species